CCGUGCUAAGCGGGGAGGUAGCGGUGCCCUAUACUUGCAAUCCGCUCUAGCAAGGCCGAAUCCCUUCUCAAGGCUCGUCUAUUGCAAGGUCUGACUCGAGCAAGUGGUGUUGAGGCUUGGGUCCUACGCAAUGAGACUCCAUGAACCAUGUCAGGUCCGGAAGGAAGCAGCAUUAAGUGGAAACUCUCAUGUGCCGUAGGGUUGCCUGGGCUGAGCUAACUGCUUGAGUAACGCUUGUGAUAGCGAGUCGACAGAAGGUGCACGG
rnacentral:SRP_RNA from 1 species